GACGAACGCUGGCGGCGUGCUUAACACAUGCAAGUCGAACGGAAAGGCCCUGCUUUUGUGGGGUGCUCGAGUGGCGAACGGGUGAGUAACACGUGAGUAACCUGCCCUUGACUUUGGGAUAACUUCAGGAAACUGGGGCUAAUACCGGAUAGGAGCUCCUGCUGCAUGGUGGGGGUUGGAAAGUUUCGGCGGUUGGGGAUGGACUCGCGGCUUAUCAGCUUGUUGGUGGGGUAGUGGCUUACCAAGGCUUUGACGGGUAGCCGGCCUGAGAGGGUGACCGGCCACAUUGGGACUGGGAAACGGCCCGGACUCCUACGGGGGGAAGCGGUGGGAAAUAUUGCACAAGGGGCGGAGGCCUGAUGCAGCAACGCCGCGUGGGGAAGGACGGCCUUCGGGUGUAAACCGCUUUCGCCUGUGACGAAGCGUGAGUGACGGUAAUGGGUAAAGAAGCACCGGCUAACUACGUG
rnacentral:rRNA from 1 species